CCAGAGAACUUUCCAGAGAUGGAUGGUGCCUUCGGGAACUCUGAGACAGGUGCUGCAUGGCUGUCGUCAGCUCGUGUUGUGAAAGUGUUGGGUUAAGUCCCGCAACGAGCGCAACCCUUAUCCUUGUUGCCAGCGGUUAGGCCGGGAACUCAAAGGAGACUGCCAGUGAUAAACUGGAGGAAGGUGGGGAUGACGUCAAGUCAUCAUGGCCCUUACGAGUAGGGCUACACACGUGCUACAAUGGCGCAUACAAAGAGAAGCGACCUCGCGAGAGCAAGCGGACCUCAUAAAGUGCGUCGUAGUCCGGAUUGGAGUCUGCAACUCGACUCCAUGAAGUCGGAAUCGCUAGUAAUCGUAGAUCAGAAUGCUACGGUGAAUACGUUCCCGGGCCUUGUACACACCGCCCGUCACACCAUGGGAGUGGGUUGCAAAAGAAGUAGGUAGCUUAACCUUCGGGAGGGCGCUUACCACUUUGUGAUUCAUGACUGGGGUGAAGUCGUAACAAGGUAAGCGUAGUGCU
rnacentral:rRNA from 1 species